UGAACAGCUCUGGAGAAUGCAUCUAGCCACAGAAAAGGUACAGCAUUCACAGCAGCAAACCAAUCUUCCCCACAUUGUCCUGCCAAUUUGCCUCUACCCACACUCAGAGAGACUGCUGCUAGGGCCACCUGGUAGUUCAUCAUAACUCAGG
rnacentral:sRNA from 1 species